rfam:Coniochaeta ligniaria NRRL 30616 unplaced genomic scaffold CONLIGscaffold_20, whole genome shotgun sequence.
GGCAUAUUAGUUUAAAGGUAAAAUAGAGUACUUAGACUACUAAAAACUAAGUUCGAAUCUUGUAUAUAUUA